UACGAAGGGGGCUAGCGUUGCUCGGAAUUACUGGGCGUAAAGGGCGCGUAGGCGGAUAGUUUAGUCAGAGGUGAAAGCCCAGGGCUCAACCCUGGAAUUGCCUUUGAUACUGGCUAUCUUGAGUUCGGGAGAGGUGAGUGGAACUCCGAGUGUAGAGGUGAAAUUCGUAGAUAUUCGGAAGAACACCAGUGGCGAAGGCGACUCACUGGCCCGAUACUGACGCUGAGGCACGAAAGCGUGGGGAGCAAACAGG
rnacentral:rRNA from 1 species